rnacentral:lncRNA from 1 species
AUACCCAUAAAGUGCCAUUGAGAUGGGCCGUUCCCUACUGGCACCUCUGGACCACACUGCGCUUGGUAGAAACAGUGGUUAAUUAGCAAUGCUCGGGCCUCCGCUACACUGCCGCCUCAUGUUCUUCACCAAGGAAGGCCAUCUAGGAAAUAGUGGGAGAUACCUGCCUGUGAUAGUAAAGCUCAGGAGGAUUAAAAAAAAAAGCAACAGAAAAGCGUCCUCUCUCCUUUCCUCUUUGCCAGGACUGACUGGAUCCCUGCAGGGCCCCUCCGCCCCGUGAGUAAGACAGAGGAAGAUUCCCUCCUUUGUUCUAGUCACAGUCAUGGGAGAAAUGCUGCCUCUGCCCUCAAGGCACUCUCUAUCAACAUCUGAGUAGAUGAUAGGCAAUUUCAUCAUCAGAAGGUUUUGGCAACAGAAAAAAAAAAAAAUAACUUCUUUUAAAAACAAAACAAAUUUUUAAAAUAUCAAGAUCACAUCAGCUCCUUUAUCAACAAAGAGCGAGGGGGUAAAAAAUGAAAGUUUGUUUAUUGAAUCCCAGCCUGUUCUGAAAGAGGAAGUUGGAACAUAUUCCAAAAAGCAGUGAAGAGCACACGUAUAGAGAGUCAAAGCAUGUGUCUUCCAAUGAUGGCAAGUUGACAGUACAAUUUUCCUUUGUGGAUUUUCUGAAGUCCCCAGCAUGAAUAUAGUAAGAACUAUCAUCUACUGGGUACUUACUACAUGCCAGCAUUUUCCAUGGCCUUCCUCAAAUUCUGAGAACAGCCCAGUGAGGUGGCACUACUCAGCCUAUUUUAUACUAACAGAAAGAGAGAUGAUGCAUUACCAGCAAAUCUGCUGCCAAGGAACAAAGAACAGAGAAAUGAGAGCAUCCUCGAGCUCAGCCAUUGGAGACAGAAUGAAAGGCAGAUUUACCUGCAAGAGCAGCUGAUAUUUUUACUGCAAACCUCCUCCAAGCAGGCUGUGAGGUUUGGAAUGCGCGUGCCCUGCAAGCUGCACACAGCAAUCCUCCAGGCGGCCACGGCUGGGUCCUCGCAGCCUCCACGCACGCAGAAUACUAAACACACCCCGGGAGUUCCCGAUGCGGCCACCUGGUUACGGCCCUGCCCACGCUUGUCUGCAGCAAUUGCUCUCUGGGAGAGGCUUCACGCAUAUCUGUUCCCGAGCAUCUGUAGACAGUGUUCGCAAAGCACAGCUCCGUAUGGGAAAAUAUGAGCCGCCAGCAAAUCAUCUUCAUGGGGGCAGGAACAUCGCCAGGUGGAAAAUAUUGCUCCGAUGACUUCCGCGUAAGGAAAGAACCAGCUGAGAUAGCUAUAGUGCUAUGGCUUCCAUUUCCAAUAAAGCAAAAGCCUUUCAAGAAGCCCUUCCA